AACGCAAAACUCACAGACAUUCGCAGCGCGUAAAAGCAUCCUCUUGAGGUUGAACCCCUCCGGGGCGUUCCGGGCCCAUGAAAAGUUGGAUUUGUGCUGCAGUUUGUAUAACUAUUCUCGCAUGUACUGGAGAAUAAACCCCAUCGACUGAUCUUGGGUGCAACGAUUCAUCUGUUGCCUGGACUUGUCCAGGUCUAAGGGUCUACCUUCGCGUGCCCGUAUGGGAGUGGUUGCAAGGAUCAGUCGAACAUAA
rnacentral:snoRNA from 1 species